CCAGCAAAGAUGUCCCCUCAGGGUUUCGGGAGCAAUGGGUUUUCUGUGUAGAGUGGACCAACAGCCUUAUCAAGAGCGGAGACCCGCACGUCAGAGACGCGGGCUUGCGGCUUUUCACUUUACUGCCAGCUAUGAUGCUCCGGCCUCUAGA
rnacentral:rRNA from 1 species